GCUAGUGGAAUAUGAGUGACGUGUUCCGUGUCAUCGCUUAAAGAUUAAGCAGAAAUGGGAUUUCAUAUAUCUAGGUUUUUAAGUUGGUUAUUUUUUUCUUCAUUCGGACACAUGUCUAUUUUUAAAUUUCGAACAAGGAACGGAUUUUCAGCGCAUUUUUUUUCAUCUACAUGGUUCAUCAAUUUCUCCGAGUUUAAUGGAUCGAGUUGCAAAAGUUUUUUUAAUGUCGGUGUCCUUUUCAUCACAGAAUAUAUUAAUAUUUUCUAUGGAUUCUUGCGUGUGUUUGUUAGUAUUGUGGUCUAUUAGAUGAGAAUUUUUUCAGAUUUUUUCGGAUUCUUGUGAUUUUUAAGAUCGUGGUUUAAGAAAAUAGAAGAUUUGAGUUAUUCUUUUUUGAUCGAUAGAUAAAUCUUUGGAGAUUUUCUCUUACAGUGUGCUACUUGUCAACCAAUUUCUGAUGACUAUUGUUAAUUAAUUUUUGAUGACUAUCCUUAACUAGUUUUUGUUGACUAUUUUAAAUAGCUAGACACUAGAUAUUAUAGUAAAUAUUUCUACAAUUUGAGUGACUUGUUUGCUAAUUGAUUAGAUUUAAAAUAUAGACGUGUAGAUUCCUUAGGUAUACUGUCUACAAAUAAUUGAACAUUGCUAUAAUAGGUUGAUUUUUUUUCUGAAAGUUUUGAAUAAAAUAUAAAAUCUCAGUUUUACCUAGACGAGUACUAGUUGUUGCAAUUAACAGCAACCAUCUAACAUGAAUCUUGUUCCCCACACCCCAAUUUUUAAUCAGGCUCUAGUUUACUUAUUUAAUCAUCAUCACCAUCAUUAUCAGCCGAUGGACGUCCACUGCUGGACAUAGGCCUCUUGCAUGGACUUCCAAACAAAACUUAUUUAAUAAAUUACCAAAAUUGUCCAAUCAACUACAAAAGACAAGAUGUGCAAAAAUUGUUCAAGAAGCAUCUUUAACUUGUACGAGUAGUUCAACCUUUAACUAUGUUAGACUAUAUGGAGCGAGUCCCUAUAAUUAGCACUGUUUGUUGUCAUUGUUAUCACCGGCCCAUGUCCACGACAAAUCCUCUGUCAACGACAGAUCUAUAAUUACAUUCAUAUUUAUAAAUGUAGAUAUUUGGCGUGCGAUAGGGGCGUGGCGCGUAGGCGCUCCGGCGAGUGGAGACAUUUUCGUGUCACUAGCCAGUUUUCUGGAGCCGUUUGUCCAGUGAAGGCGUCCGUCAUGCCGCACCACGAGACCACCAGCCUCAUCGCCACCUACCUCAUCCUGGUGCUGCUCCUGGCCAGUCUGUGGUUGCUCUACUCGGGGAUGUUCUGAGACAUGGUCAGAGCAAGACAAAUAUAGAGACCAAUACAAAAUGGCGGAUAGACGAACGCUGUAAAAAAAUACAUUUAAUUUUAAGAAACCGUAAUUUUAGUAUUAAGUUAACUCUAUUAUAAGCAAUGAUGUAUACACCCAAGCAUUUAUACAAAGCGAACAUGAAUCACGGACCAUCAAGGGGAAGGAGCUCAAUGUUACUCGGAUACUUCGAAAUCGGGAUUUUAUUUGUAAGCAAGCGAAACACCACAGGCACAGUGCUGGGCAUUCCAAGUUAAUUAAAAACUAAAAAUGUAUUACAUAAAACAUGAAAGACAACUAUUUAAAUCGUCAACAUAACAUCCAGUGAAAUUAUGUUAUUGUAACAUGUUUUGUCGUUUGGUGCAGUUCGACUAUUUUAGAAUGUUAUUACUUAUUUGUUGUUAAGAACUAAGUUUUUGUAAUAAAGUUUUUUU